UAUUGUCUAUUUUCCAUUAUAUCUCAACACUGCCUUUAAUUGCCUCUUUCCACCAGAUUUACAUAUUAUCCCUCCCGGCUGUUCACACAUAGACUUUCCUUUACUUGGCAAUCUUCCAGUCACUCCAUACUACAGACAGAGGUACUAAAACAGCAAAGCAGUUGAUGAGAGUCAAAAUAAAACUACAUUAUGUUAUACUACAUGGCCUACAGAUGAGUGAACAAUUAAACAACAGAGCACCUGCGACUGUCAUCAGAAGUUCUCUUCCUUUUCUUAAAACUGUUUAAGUACUUUUGGGCAGGUAUGUAACAAGGUUGUAGAGGCUUAACAAAUGUCUCUUCAAAUGUUAUCUAAUUCCAUUAUUUAUCACUACUCCAAGGAAAUGUAAGUCGGAAUUAAUGAUUCUCUCAAAUACCAAAUGAAAAUUGUUCUUACAGGAAUUGGCUUCAUAACCCUGACACUUGAGGCACCUGGGGAAGCAGAGACAUUCCCUGGAGAUUCACACUGAUCAUUAACGCAGCCAGACUCAGCAAUACAUCUACAUGUGCCUAACUGCAAAGAUAUAAGGAAGCUUAAUGGUUUUAAUGCAAUGCUCAACAUAAAUACACACCUAUUUCUUAAGUCAGCUGAACAGUGACACAUGUAAGCAAAGAGGCACUUUGUAUACAUGCUACAGAACAAAGGAAGACAAAGUCAACUGAAUGGUUUUGGGAAGUAAUAAAAGAAAUGCAACAAAUUCACAAAUUAAA